GUGCUUGCUUCAGCAGCACAUAUACUCAAAUUGGAACGAUACAGAGAAGAUUAGCAUGGUCCCUGCCCAAGAAUGACACUCAAAUUCGUGAAGCAUUCCAUAUUUUU
ensembl:snRNA U6 U6 spliceosomal RNA